rnacentral:rRNA from 1 species
GACGAACGCUGGCGGUGUGCUUAACACAUGCAAGUCGAACGGUAAGGCCCUUUCGGGGGUCCACGAGUGGCGAACGGGUGAGUAACACGUGAGUAACCUGCCCUCAUCUCUGGGAUAACAGUCGGAAACGGUUGCUAAUACUGGAUAUGAGCUUGCAAGGCAUCUUGUGGGUUGGAAAGAUUUUUUUUGGUUGGGGAUGGACUCGCGGCCUAUCAGCUUGUUGGUGAGGUAGUGGCUCACCAAGGCUUCGACGGGUAGCCGGCCUGAGAGGGCGACCGGCCACAUUGGGACCGAGAUACGGCCCAAACUCCUACGGGAGGCAGCAGUGGGGAAUAUUGCACAAUGGACGGAAGUCUGAUGCAGCAACGCCGCGUGCGGGAUGACGGCCUUCGGGUUGUAAACCGCUUUCAAUUGUGACGAAGCUUUUUUGUGACGGUAGCAGUAGAAGAAGCACCGGCUAACUACGUG